CCAGGUCCCUGUGGAUGGAGUGCUAAUUAGUGGCCAUUCUCUUGCCAUUGAUGAAUCUAGCAUGACCGGUGAAAGCAAGAUUGUCCACAAGGAUCAAAAAUCUCCUUUUCUAAUGUCUGGUUGUAAAGUAGCUGACGGAGUCCGUAAUGUGAUGGUAUGUCUUUGGUCCUAUUGAUGUUAGAGUCACAUAGAAGAAGAAGAGGAGCAAACAAGAGUAGCACAGAAGAAGCUACAAAGAAUGAAAAAGAAGAAUGAAGCUUAAAGCGCAAUAAACGAAGGAACAAGAAGUAACCAAAGAGAGUCACGUAGAAGAAGAAAGUCAACGUGAGAGCACAUUGGUUACGAACCAAAGAGAAGUUGAGGACAUCUAUUUUGUUGUUGUUUAAGUGUAGUAGUUAGUGAGAAACUACUAUAAGUAUGUGUGGUGUUGUAAGAAAGAUAAAUCCAAUUCUAAUAAGAAGAAGAGUAAGUA